rnacentral:rRNA from 1 species
AUUGAACGCUGGCGGCAUGCCUAACACAUGCAAGUCGAACGGUAACAGGCCCUUCGGGCGCUGACGAGUGGCGGACGGGUGAGUAAUGCUUAGGAAUCUGCCUAGUAGUGGGGGAUAACCCGGGGAAACUCGGGCUAAUACCGCAUACGUCCUACGGGAGAAAGCGGGGGACCUUCGGGCCUCGCGACUAUUAGAUGAGCCUAAGUCCGAUUAGCUAGUUGGUAGGGUAACGGCCUACCAAGGCGACGANCGGUAGCUGGUCUGAGAGGACGACCAGCCACACUGGGACUGAGACACGGCCCAGACUCCCUACGGGAGGCAGCAGUGGGGAAUAUUGGACAAUGGGCGCAAGCCUGAUCCAGCGAUGCCGCGUGUGUGAAGAA